GACGAACCGUGCAAACGUUGUUCGGAAUCACUGGGCUUAAAGGGCGCGUAGGCGGGUGAUCAAGUCAGGGGUGAAAUCUUUCGGCUUAACCGGAAAACUGCCUUUGAUACUGGUCGUCUCGAGUGAGGUAGGGGCAUGUGGAACUUCCGGUGGAGCGGUGAAAUGCGUUGAUAUCGGAAGGAACGCCGGUGGCGAAAGCGACGUGCUGGACCUCUUCUGACGCUGAUGCGCGAAAGCUAGGGGAGCGAACGGG
rnacentral:rRNA from 1 species